AUAGUUAUCACAUCAACUUCGUCUGCACUGUCACUAAUGGUGUUACAAAUAUGACGGAAAUAUUUGGUCAACUAGCUAGAUAUAACAGUGCACUGGAACCUUUGACCAGAAAAUUGUCAUCGAAAUAACUUGGGCUCUAUUUUUCAACAUCGAGAAAGUUGUGGCUAGAAAAAUGUAUUAGGUUGAUGAAAAAAAAAUGGAUGUAAUAAUUUAUCAAAAACGAACAUGAUGUUAAUUACCGAUUGAUUAUUUUCGUCUUCUCUUUACAUAUAUUGUCCAUUUUCAUAAUUUUAUUCCCAUUUCUUAUUUUCCAGUUCAUCUUUUUUUUCGUUUUCAUAUUUUUUUUGACAUACAAAGCUCAUUCAUUUAAAAAGAUUUGAUAAAAAUCGAUACACGAUGAAGCACUAGCCACUACAGGUGCACACCCCCAC
rnacentral:lncRNA from 1 species